AAAAAAGAGGAGGGGCAUGGAGGGAGAUAUUAUCCUGUUAUCAGAGCAGCAUCCUUGGUGGUGUUCCCAGGAGUCUUUGCAGUGUUUUUCAAAAUGAUGAAACCGCAUCAAAGGCCGGUCGUUCCUGGUCCCCUACCCGAUGCUAUCUCCAACGACUUCCCCCCCAAUCCCCCUAGACAUCAGGGAUAUUUUAUCAGAUCUCUACUGGACUCCGGCGUUGUGGGGGUCGGCUCCAGUACCUGGUGGACUGGGAGGGGUAUGGCCCAUACGAGCGGUGUUGGGUUCCGGUUGAGGACAUUCUGGAUCCCAACAUCAUCCAUGAUUUCCACCUUUGCCGCCCAGAACACGUCAGAGGGGGGGGGGUACUGUCACGUCUAGUCCUGCUCCUCCACUCCGGCGUUCGACAUUGCCUGACUGCUAACCACCGUUCCUGGGAUUCAUCAUUACGCACACCUGUUUAUCAUUAUGAUUCACACCUGGACUCCAUCACCUUCCUCAUUACUUCACAUUCAUCUGUCCCUCUCUUACGUUUGUGCCACAGUCACUAUUGUUCCUAUGCUUUUCGCCACUGUGAUGUUCUCGUUUCAUGUUUAUUGUUUUAUUAAACAUUUCACCUGCACCUGCUUCUCGACUCACAGCAUCUCCGUUACAAUAGAAAUGAUGGAUGGCCUCUUAUCCGCUCGCCAUUCCCUUAUGCCAUAGUUUUACAUCUCAAUUGUCAGUAGAAACCAUGUUUGUUUAACCAAGUCAGCCAUAUCAGCUACAGCGGUUCUUUAAAAAAAAGUUGCGUCAUACUGCAGCACACCCUGCGGGCUGCCGCAGAAUUCAAUGGCACGUUAUUUCAGUGUCAGCCAUUGUCACCAGUAAUGCUAGUUAGUGCAGAGGGCAUCUUUGAGAAGCAUUUGACAGUUUUUAAUAGUGGCUGUACUAGAGAAUUUAAAACCUUUGUUGCAAGAAUGAUUUUAAGAAAUGUAGCUUAAUUUGUUUCAAAUUAUGGUGUUUCCAUUCCACCAAAAAACAGUGUUUCCGUUAGGGAAAUAUGACAAUGUACAACGUGAGCGGUUGGGAUUAGGCUACUAAGAGCAAAAAUAAUCCUAACAUUUCCACCCCAUAAUUGUAAACUAACCAAUACCCAAACAGAGUUUCAGGGUGAAAUAAAAAAGACCAGUCCCCUUGCUUGUCUCAGAGCAGCACGAAACGGUGCUGAAAUAGUUGACCACACGUGGGAAGGCUAUUGCUUCAAAUCCUGUUAUGUCAAUUGGAUGACUUUUGGUGUUCCAGUAAGCAACAAUUUGUUGCAUUCAUUAGCCUACUUUACUGUGAAAAAUGUAUGUUUAACUCUUCCAAGCCUACAAGCAAGAAACUGACGAUAAAACAAUUCAACAAAUACAUUGAUCACCUCAGCAAGGUUUUACCUGUGGUGGUGGAACUGGGGGGAAGUGCAACUAAAAGGUAGCAUAGAUGUACUGUACAGUAGUUGAAAUAAACAUUUUGGAAGU